rnacentral:pre_miRNA from 1 species
CUAGUACUCCCUCCGUCCUAAAAUUAUUGUCUUAGGUUUGUUUAGAAAUGAAUGUAUCUAAAUACUAAAACAUGACUAGAUACAUUCAUAUCUAGACAAAUCUAAAACAAGAAUUUUGGGACGGAGGGAGUAUGUU